CCUACGGGUGGCAGCAGUGGGGAAUCUUCCGCAAUGGGCGAAAGCCUGACGCAGCAACGCCGCGUGAUCGAAUGAAGGCCUUCGGGUUGUAAAGAUCUGUUGACAGGGACGAAUAAGCCAUGCGAAUAGUUUGGUGUAUGACGGUACCUGUUUAGAAAGCUCCGGCUAACGACGUGCCAGCAGCCGCGGUAUUAGGUAGGGGGCAGGCGUUGUCCGGAUUUACUGGGCGCAAAGGGCGCGUAGGUGGGUGCUUAAGUCAGGUGUGAAAACUCAGGGCUCAACCUGGAGACUGCACUUGAAACUGGGUAUCUUGAGGGCAGGAGAGGAAAGUGGAAUUCCGAGUGUAGCGGUGAAAUGCGUAGAUAGUAGGAGGAACACCAGUGGCGAAGGCGACUUUCUGGACUGUACCUGACGCUGAGGCGCGAAAGCGUGGGUAGCGAACGGGAUUAGAUACCCGUGUAGUC
rnacentral:rRNA from 1 species